CGAAAGGCCUCGCGCGAUUGGAGCGGCCGAUGUCGGAUUAGCUAGUUGGUAGGGUAAAGGCCUACCAAGGCGACGAUCCGUAGCGGGUCUGAGAGGAUGAUCCGCCACACUGGGACUGAGACACGGCCCAGACUCCUACGGGAGGCAGCAGUGGGGAAUUUUGGACAAUGGGCGCAAGCCUGAUCCAGCCAUGCCGCGUGAGUGAAGAAGGCCUUCGGGUUGUAAAGCUCUUUCAGGUGGAAAGAAAACGCAUAGGUUAAUACCUUGUGUGGAUGACGGUACCAUCAGAAGAAGCACCGGCUAACUACGUGCCAGCAGCCGCGGUAAUACGUAGGGUGCGAGCGUUAAUCGGAAUUACUGGGCGUAAAGCGUGCGCAGGCGGUGAUGUAAGACAGAUGUGAAAUCCCCGGGCUCAACCUGGGAACUGCGUUUGUGACUGCAUCACUCGAGUACGGCAGAGGGAGGUGGAAUUCCGCGUGUAGCAGUGAAAUGCGUAGAUAUGCGGAGGAACACCGAUGGCGAAGG
rnacentral:rRNA from 1 species